rnacentral:lncRNA from 1 species
CACUCCACCGUGGCUUGGCUCUCAGGGCUAAGCUUCCCCGGUCUCGACCACUUAAACUUCACACUGAAGUCAUCGUCGUCAUACACUGGUACCCACUUCUCUCCACGUAGCGUCUCCACAACAGCGAAAGAUCCUUCCGUCAUCAGGUCGUUUCUUGGACAUCCCGACCAAAACGUAGCGUUGACUUGUUGGCCUCUCACGAACGUUGACUUGGGAGGCACGUCAGCUUUAACAUCACCGAAGCUGACUCCUAUAGGAGUGGAGUCAACUACCACAGGGGAUAGUAAACUGAUCUGGUUGUCUAAAAGGUCUGGUGGUAAGGGCCCACUCGGGAGUGUUUGACCGUUGACCAAAGCUGUGGCUAGUUUCUUGAACUCUUGGAUAUAAGCGGUGAGUGUGUGUGGGCCGUAUAGCGUCGAAGCUCCCUCGUAUCUUUGAACCUCGUACUCCUCGAAAGUUGCAAUGUACUGAGAAUACGUGUUGGUGAGACCUGCGAUUACCACAUGGAGGUUGUUGCCAAACUGCUUGCUGUCUAAAGAGAUGAGAAAUGACUUCACAGCAUCACGGAGACGCCUUCCAGCCAUUGUGGUGAACUCUGUGUCAAAUUAUAAGCUUCAUUAGGGGACUAAAGAAGGUUUAUGAUGAGAACAAAAGAGAGUCUCAUUGACAUACCUCCAGGGACACUGAGGAUGAUUAGUUGACCAAUGCGAAACAUCUGAACCGGAAGAAUCGAAGGCUGCAUGGUUCAGGCAAGUAACAACCCAUCAAUAGUCUAUAGUUUCAAACAGGACGGUCUAAUAGCAUGUGCAAAUAGAACAGUUGAACAGAGUCCCGAGUCUUAAAAAUUACAAAAAAUUUGAGAUAUUUUCAAAAAUAUAUACAUAAAUUAUGAUAUAGAACUGCCCUGAUUAAUAUAUCAUUAAUAUUAUUUUGAACAAGACAAUAAUUUGAGACGGCCCUGAUUUCAAAUGCUUAUUACAUAAAACAAAGAAUAUAGCCACUCACCGCCCAGUCAUAUGGUGUCUUCAUCUCACCAGUGUCAAGUAAAAUAGGUUUUGGUUUCUGACAUUGGAUCUGGUCCGGACCAGGAGUUGUUAACACGUUCCUCACUAAUCUCCAAAACGCAUUACCCUUUAAAGAAAAGAGAUUUUUUAGUUAGAGAAAGAAAGAUUCAGAGUUAAGAAGCUUAUUAGUUACCUUAUCAUCUCCUUGUUUGAAAUCAAAAGCACCAGGACCAUCAGUUGUUCCAGCAGCAAAACCAAACCCCAUUGCAGCUGGACAUGUCUUCACCGUCUCUGAACCACCACCUGCUUUAGGAACCGUGACUUCAAGGUUUGAGAAAUCUACAUACUCAUGUUGGUAACCAAUCUUCCCCUCUAACUUCUCAGUAGCUUUGUUGAAUAGUCCCACCGCCAUUUUGAACUGCCUUUCUCCAAUGAUACGUGUACUCUCAAACUCAUCAGGGUACCCGGGACCACGGCCAUAGCACAGCUCGUUCUUUCCGUUGCAUGUACUGUGAUUGAAGUCACAAGGCAGUCCAGUGUCUAUGCAAAACGUACCAAGAACAUUUGGACUGACGUCACCACAGUUUGAUUGACAGAAGGCAGAGACGAAUGACGCCUUUCUUACUCGGACUUUAGCAUCAAGACACUGUCCUCUAGAUGACUUAUAAGAAGCUGCAAUAUCCAAAAGCCUGCUGUCUGAAAAGUACACAAAAAACAUAACUUACAUCAUGAUAAGUUUUGUCAUAGAAUUGCCACAUUAGGUAAGUAACUCAAAGACUCACGGUUUUGGCUCAGAUCAGAGACAAUGGUUGAUACUCGUCUAGGGAUCUUCUGUCCACUCUGGAACCAGUCCUCCAUGAAACGCGCUGCUGCGCCUUUGUUAUCUCCACUAAUCAAAGAGUUAGUCCUGCUCAUGGAAGUCCCAUGAGUAGCAAACCAGUUAAAGCUACCAAUAGGUCCCAACUUUGAAUCGACAAACUUGAGGAGCGUCAUUUCUUUGUCGACGUUAUACUUAUAUUUGCUCCUCUCAUCUGCAGGGUUGUUCAGAUAAGAACUAGGACUUCUGUUCACACCAGCAUCCAAAAGGUCCCCUAAUAUUUACACACACACAUAAAGUGAUUUAACUAAAGCAAGAACUUAAUUUGUCUGAAAGCACCCUUAAAGAAGCCAAUUUUUAAAAAAUCGCUAUGCGGUAGUCAGGCGGUUUAUAUGAGAUUAUUGAUUAGGCAGAACAGACUUUUUAAAUGUCUAGAUCGAUUUUUAUUUAAUGUCAAGACCGAUUUAAAAAAAAAAUUGUUUUAGAAAAAUAGUUUCGUUUAGAUUCGAUUUGUCAACUAGGCAGAUGCUUACAAGCCACUAUACCGAUUUUUAGAACACUAUAAGACAAAAGAAAGUACCUUUGUUGACAAAAACAGAACCAGGACGUAGACUUUGGUGAGCUUGCAUGAUGGCUUGCUCAAUGCCAUCAACAAGAACGUCAAAAGACUGACGAACGAAUCCAAGGGACGUGACAAUGUAAGUGACGUACUGAAGAUACCCUCCUGGUCCAGCAUGAGUGUGGAUCCCACUUAUUGCAACGUUCUUCUCUGUGUAAAGAUCACCAUAUCUACAAAAUGAAAUUAUUACAACAUUCUUGUAGAUUAGUUCAAAAUAACACUGACACUGUGCUUAUUGGUCGUUACCUUGCCUUGAGUCGCUCAAGAACUUUGAUGGUAACGAUCUGAGACGCCAUACACGCGUCAAGAUUCACAAACGCGACGCGGUUACCUUGAGGCUCAGCGACGAUGAAGGCACGAGCUCGCAGACGGAAAUGGAUCCCUGAGGCGAUUUGCUCGGAGUUAGCGUAUCCCAUCAUGUUGACGUCAGCGGCUGGACCGGUGAUGUCAUAGCUUCCCACGCCGAUUAAGUACUCGGAAGACGAAAGAACGGCUCUAGUUAAGAGAAGAGACAGUAGAAACUGAAACGACAAUGGAACUGAGACAGCCAUGUUUUGGAGAGAGGAGGAAGAAGGGAGUUGAUGAUGUGUUCUACUCCUAUGAUUGUCUUUACAACAAGUUAAAAGCCUAUGACACAAAACUUAGGUGUUGGAGUGAGGUGAAAGGUGUUAAAACAUUGUUGCCCACUAACAAAAGUUUAGUUUGGUGGCCACGCGUUGUGAAUUACGGUGGGAACUUGCUUUUCUUGUAUCAGAAAAGGAUUUGUAGAAUAGAAGAGCAUUGGUGUGCGGAGAUUGCAUUGGAAAGACGUCAAGAUGGUGAGAUUUGGGGUAAAGUCGAGUGGUCCGAUGUUGUAAUUGUCGGUGAUUUUUGCUUAAUAGAAUCUCUAGUUGCUACGUUUUGAUGCAUGUUCUCUAGAUGCUAUGUUUUGAUGCAUGAAGCUCUCCUUCAUAUUACUUAAGACUGUGCUUUUUUUUUUUUUAGUUUGGGUAUUUUAAAACUACGAAGAGGCUCAUACUAAUUCCUCAAGGGAAAGUGUAAUUCAUGGAAGCAUCAUCUCAUAUAUGCUUAGCCACACAAUUUUAGUGUUGUAGUCCAUAUACGAGUAGUCCACCCAAUGUGGUUAACUUAUUGUGAUUUGAAAUUUCUUUUCAUCACUUUUUUUAUUUUAUAAAUGAUAUAAUCAUGCACUGAUAUGUUACGUUAAGUAAAAUGUCAUACAACUACAAAGGCGCUAGAAGAACCAGAGAAGCUUGUAAUGGAUCCAACAAGCGACUUAGAAGCUCCGUAAUGUCUUAAUCUAUAAACUCCAGCCACCGCAGACUCAGGUAUCCUCCACUCCACCGUGGCUUGGCUCUCAGGGCUAAGCUUCCCCGGUCUCGACCACUUAAACUUCACACUGAAGUCAUCGUCGUCAUACACUGGUACCCACUUCUCUCCACGUAGCGUCUCCACAACAGCGAAAGAUCCUUCCGUCAUCAGGUCGUUUCUUGGACAUCCCGACCAAAACGUAGCGUUGACUUGUUGGCCUCUCACGAACGUUGACUUGGGAGGCACGUCAGCUUUAACAUCACCGAAGCUGACUCCUAUAGGAGUGGAGUCAACUACCACAGGGGAUAGUAAACUGAUCUGGUUGUCUAAAAGGUCUGGUGGUAAGGGCCCACUCGGGAGUGUUUGACCGUUGACCAAAGCUGUGGCUAGUUUCUUGAACUCUUGGAUAUAAGCGGUGAGUGUGUGUGGGCCGUAUAGCGUCGAAGCUCCCUCGUAUCUUUGAACCUCGUACUCCUCGAAAG